GUGUGACUGCGUACCUUUUGUAUAAUGGGUCAGCGACUUAUAUUCUGUAGCAAGGUUAACCGAAUAGGGGAGCCGAAGGGAAACCGAGUCUUAACUGGGCGUUAAGUUGCAGGGUAUAGACCCGAAACCCGGUGAUCUAGCCAUGGGCAGGUUGAAGGUUGGGUAACACUAACUGGAGGACCGAACCGACUAAUGUUGAAAAAUUAGCGGAUGACUUGUGGCUGGGGGUGAAAGGCCAAUCAAACCGGGAGAUAGCUGGUUCUCCCCGAAAGCUAUUUAGGUAGCGCCUCGUGAAUUCAUCUCCGGGGGUAGAGCACUGUUUCGGCAAGGGGGUCAUCCCGACUUACCAACCCGAUGCAAACUGCGAAUACCGGAGAAUGUUAUCACGGGAGACACACGGCGGGUGCUAACGUCCGUCGUGAAGAGGGAAACAACCCAGACCGCCAGCUAAGGUCCCAAAGUCAUGGUUAAGUGGGAAACGAUGUGGGAAGGCCCAGACAGCCAGGAUGUUGGCUUAGAAGCAGCCAUCAUUUAAAGAAAGCGUAAUAGCUCACUGGUCGAGUCGGCCUGCGCGGAAGAUGUAACGGGGCUAAACCAUGCACCGAAGCUGCGGCAGCGACGCUUAUGCGUUGUUGGGUAGGGGAGCGUUCUGUAAGCCUGUGAAGGUGUACUGUGAGGUAUGCUGGAGGUAUCAGAAGUGCGAAUGCUGACAUAAGUAACGAUAAAGCGGGUGAAAAGCCCGCUCGCCGGAAGACCAAGGGUUCCUGUCCAACGUUAAUCGGGGCAGGGUGAGUCGACCCCUAAGGCGAGGCCGAAAGGCGUAGUCGAUGGGAAACAGGUUAAUAUUCCUGUACUUGGUGUUACUGCGAAGGGGGGACGGAGAAGGCUAUGUUGGCCGGGCGACGGUUGUCCCGGUUUAAGCGUGUAGGCUGGUUUUCCAGGCAAAUCCGGAAAAUCAAGGCUGAGGCGUGAUGACGAGGCACUACGGUGCUGAAGCAACAAAUGCCCUGCUUCCAGGAAAAGCCUCUAAGCAUCAGGUAACAUCAAAUCGUACCCCAAACCGACACAGGUGGUCAGGUAGAGAAUACCAAGGCGCUUGAGAGAACUCGGGUGAAGGAACUAGGCAAAAUGGUGCCGUAACUUCGGGAGAAGGCACGCUGAUAUGUAGGUGAAGUCCCUCGCGGAUGGAGCUGAAAUCAGUCGAAGAUACCAGCUGGCUGCAACUGUUUAUUAAAAACACAGCACUGUGCAAACACGAAAGUGGACGUAUACGGUGUGACGCCUGCCCGGUGCCGGAAGGUUAAUUGAUGGGGUUAGCGCAAGCGAAGCUCUUGAUCGAAGCCCCGGUAAACGGCGGCCGUAACUAUAACGGUCCUAAGGUAGCGAAAUUCCUUGUCGGGUAAGUUCCGACCUGCACGAAUGGCGUAAUGAUGGCCAGGCUGUCUCCACCCGAGACUCAGUGAAAUUGAACUCGCUGUGAAGAUGCAGUGUACCCGCGGCAAGACGGAAAGACCCCGUGAACCUUUACUAUAGCUUGACACUGAACAUUGAGCCUUGAUGUGUAGGAUAGGUGGGAGGCUUUGAAGUGUGGACGCCAGUCUGCAUGGAGCCGACCUUGAAAUACCACCCUUUAAUGUUUGAUGUUCUAACGUUGACCCGUAAUCCGGGUUGCGGACAGUGUCUGGUGGGUAGUUUGACUGGGGCGGUCUCCUCCUAAAGAGUAACGGAGGAGCACGAAGGUUGGCUAAUCCUGGUCGGACAUCAGGAGGUUAGUGCAAUGGCAUAAGCCAGCUUGACUGCGAGCGUGACGGCGCGAGCAGGUGCGAAAGCAGGUCAUAGUGAUCCGGUGGUUCUGAAUGGAAGGGCCAUCGCUCAACGGAUAAAAGGUACUCCGGGGAUAACAGGCUGAUACCGCCCAAGAGUUCAUAUCGACGGCGGUGUUUGGCACCUCGAUGUCGGCUCAUCACAUCCUGGGGCUGAAGUAGGUCCCAAGGGUAUGGCUGUUCGCCAUUUAAAGUGGUACGCGAGCUGGGUUUAGAACGUCGUGAGACAGUUCGGUCCCUAUCUGCCGUGGGCGCUGGAGAACUGAGGGGGGCUGCUCCUAGUACGAGAGGACCGGAGUGGACGCAUCACUGGUGUUCGGGUUGUCAUGCCAAUGGCACUGCCCGGUAGCUAAAUGCGGAAGAGAUAAGUGCUGAAAGCAUCUAAGCACGAAACUUGCCCCGAGAUGAGUUCUCCCUGACUCCUUGAGAGUCCUGAAGGAACGUUGAAGACGACGACGUUGAUAGGCCGGGUGUGUAAGCGCAGCGAUGCGUUGAGCUAACCGGUACUAAUGAACCGUGAGGCUUAACCUU
rnacentral:rRNA from 1 species